rnacentral:lncRNA from 1 species
CUAUGUUUUAUUAUUUCAUUUCAGUACAUGUAGCAUUUGAAUAUAAAGUGUAUAAUAAACUUAUAUUUCACAUUAUAUAUGCCAACUUUAUCUUUAGUACUCUUUCUUCCUCUCUGUACUUCUAUCAACUUUGAUUUACUCUCUCCCUCUCUGCUCAUUGGCUAAUUCUUUCCCGCCUUUUUUGGAGUAGCAGUAAUGCCAAUUCAUGUACCCCCUUUAGGGAUGCUUUUGUACUAUGAUGUGCACCAUUGCACCUUUAUUGUUAGCUAGGGAGAAAGUCCAGUGACUCAUGACACUGGCAGUAGCCAGGGCAUUCCCACUGCUUGUUGUUGAGGAGGAGACUUGUCCCUACAGAAGGAAGUUUAAUUUUGAAGUAGAGAAGACUUCUGCAAGGACUUCCCUUGAUGUUCAAUUUUACUUUAGAUGUUGAGGCAAAAUGCAGAAUUAGUGUCUGACCGAGGCUGUUUUCCUUUGGUGAAUAAAAGAGUUCAAUGAAACCGCAGCCCUCGUGAGUCGUGUCAGUGUUGUGGUCGUCGGCGCGAACCCUUUCA